rnacentral:rRNA from 1 species
AACGAACGCUGGCGGCAGGCUUAACACAUGCAAGUCGAACGGAUGUAGCAAUACAUCAGUGGCAGACGGGUGAGUAACACGUGGGAACCUUCCUCGUUGUACGGGACAACUCAGGGAAACUUGAGCUAAUACCGUAUACGUCCGAGAGGAGAAAGAUUUAUCGCAAUGAGACGGGCCCGCGUCGGAUUAGCUAGUUGGUGGGGUAACGGCCUACCAAGGCGACGAUCCGUAGCUGANCUGAGAGGAUGAUCAGCCACACUGGGACUGAGACACGGCCCAGACUCCUACGGGAGGCAGCAGUGGGGAAUCUUGCGCAAUGGGCGAAAGCCUGACGCAGCGACGCCGCGUGAGGGAAGAAGGCCUUCGGUUG